UGCAUUUCCUACAACAGAUAUGGGUACGCAUCAAAAUUUAUUGUCUUGGUCUUGCAUUUUGCGACGUUAUGUUAUGCAUGAUUUGCGUUUGGCUGCAAACCCUUGUCUAGCUGCUAUUGAUAUCUCAUAGGGUGUGUGGCUUUCGUUGCUGCAGAUUUGGUGAUGGCCAAACGACAUUGCUUCACGGUUUUGACAGAUUGGGCUUAAAUACUGAACUGGUAUGAUAACAAGCCGGUUAUUUGGUUAUGGUUUCAUAUUGGUUCAAGCUUGCAUAGGAUCACAUCAAGACCAAGAUAUCAUUAAUGCAGCAUUGCGUUCCGACUUGCAUGACGAAAUGCUUAGUUUAGUGCAUAAUGGUAUUGGCUUAUGAUUCAUGCAACUUAGUUGUUCGAAAUGACACCAAACUUGGAAACCAUAAGCGACAAUGCGCCAUUUCAAGAGUCAAUCAUGGAUCAUGGAAAUAUUAGGGAUGGAAUUAGGAUUAGGAAUUAGGGUUUGGAUAAUUUGGGUUGACUUUGGUCAAAGUUGACCAAAAAGUCAACAAUUUACCAAAGUCAACAUUUUCAUUUUUGUAAUGUUUUCAUAUUUUGGACACUUUGCUUUGUAAUGAAUGGAAUUGACAUAUUUUUCAAUGAAAUGGAUUGCUUUUGAGUUGAA